rnacentral:lncRNA from 1 species
UUUUAUUUUUUAUAUAAAUUCUUUUUGAUAAUACAUAUCUCGAUAUUCUAAAUAUAAUCUAAUAAAUAUUCAAAAAUAGUGAUUUGUACAAUUUUAGUUUUUUAAAUUGCACUCAAUUUUAAUUUUUAUAAAAAUAAAAUUUAAAAUUACUAGCCAAUAAAUACCAAAAUCAAAACUAAACACCCAAAAAAUAAAAAUAAAAAACACUAGGCCACUAAAUAUUGUGUUUUUUUAUUUUUUUCAAAAAUCGGCCGGUUCACUAAAUACCGGCCAGUUCAAUAUUUUUUUAAAAUACCGGCCGAUUUAAUCCGGUUCAUAUGUAUUUUCGAUAAAUUAAUUAAACCGCACCAAUUUAUAGUCCGGUUCUCAAUUCAACCGACUGGUUUAGUUUAAUUUUUAUAACUAUAAUAUAGAGUAUGAGCUACAGAGACCGAGUUUGAUUACACUUUUUAAGUUUUUCAAGACUUUUUAUCAUUUUGGUAACCAAUUUUUUUGAUACGAUUUGUACAACUAUCGAGUAAAACGUGUUUAAUUCAAAUAUUUUUUACAAUACGGCGUUGUAAAAUUUUUUGACAAGUCAAAAUUGGGAACGUUAAAAAAAAACCCGGCCGCGAGUUCUUUUCUUUUCAACUCGAAUUUUCCGACUAGGUUUUAAGUGGUCCCACCAAUUGUUGGACCAAAUUUUCACCUAGUUGACGACAAAACUUUCUCCGUUUCAAGGGCCGUUCAUUUUUAAGUUGCCAAAAUUUAAAGAGAGCUGCUUCACCCGCCCCCAAACAAAAAAAAGUCCCCCUGGCCCCACUUACAAAUUUACCUUUGUGCCCCUUUCUCUCUCUUACUUUUUUUUGUUAAGUUUUGUGUAUUUUUAUUUUAGUUUUUUUUAUUAAUUUUUUUGGUUAAUCAAUUUUUUUAUCAAAUUUUUUUAUUUUUAAAUUUUUUUUUGUUUUCAUUAUUUUUUUUAAUCAAUUUUUUUUUCUUUUCUAUAUCAGUUUUAUUUAUUUUUUUGGAUAAAUAAUUUUUUUAUUAUAUGUUUGUAAUCUUUUAUUUAUUUUUUAGUUGUAGAUUUUGGGAGUCAUUAUUUGUGCCAAAAAAUUAAAAGUAAUAAAUUAAAAAAAUUGAUUAAAAAAAUUAAACAAAAUUAUAAAAUAAAAACAAAAAAACAUUAAAAAAAGCUGAAAAAAAUGCCAAAUAAAAAAUAAAUAGUAAUAAAAAAAAAUUAAUAAAACAUAAUAAAAAAAAAAUAAUUUUGAUUAACAAAUAACAAAACUAAUAAAUAAAAGAAGCAAAAAAACAUAACAAAAACUAAAAAAAAACUCAAAAAAAUUCAGGAAAAAACCUAAAAUAAAUAAAUAAUAUUACAAACAUAAUAACAAAAUCCAUUUAUUCAAAUCAAAACUAAUCCAUCCCUAAAAAAUUUCAUAAUAAAAAAAAAUCUGAUAAAAAAAUAAAAGAAAAAAAAAACUAAAAAACAAUGAAAUGGUGGGAGGGGACAAUUGGGAAAAGGAAAAAAGGGGAGGGGUACAAAGGUAAUUUUGUGGGGAGACAAGGGGGUACAAGGGGGGCGGGAUGUCAAGUGGGCGGGCGAAGAAAUUUGCAAAUUUAAAUUUCCAAUAGGGACAGCCCAGUAAAAACAAAUUUCACGGUCUAAGGCUUAGGCUCCGUUUGGUAAUGUUUAAAAGCUAAGAUUUUUUUAAAUUUAUAUCAAAAAAAUCAUUAUUUUUUUAAACUUUUUUACUUUUACUUUAGAUAAAAAUAAGCAAAUAAAAAAAAUAAAAAAAUAAGAAAGCCAACUUUGACUAUUUUUUUGCUUAUUUUAAAUAAAAAAUCAGUCGAAAAGCUCAACUAAGCUGGUUCCAAACGGAGCCUUAGUUUGGAACAAAUAUUUGUUUUUUUAAGAUUAUUUUUAUCUAUUUAUUAAAUUAUUUUAUUUUUUCAGUUCAUCUUGAUUAAAAGAAUUGAAAACUAAAAAAUAUAUUUCUUCUUACAAAAGAUUUACUAAAAUUCACUAGAUAUCUGGACUACCUUAAUUAAGCAAAUAUUUUAUAAAAUAGAAUUUGUUAAAUAAAUAAAAUACAAAAGUGUUUUUGAUUUAUUUGACUUCAUUCGAGGAAUACGAAAAGUUUAAAAUGUUAUUUUUUGCAAAAAUACAUUUAGGCUUUAUUUGGAUCAAAGAUUUUGUGAGAAAAAUGAAAUCAAAAUAGGAAAGUUAAAAGAGAUUCAACUCUUCGAGAUGUUAGAUUUUAACAAUUUGUAACUUUUUCAACUCCUGUAAUCAAAAUGAACCGGUAGAGUAAUAAAAAAAAGAAUAAGUAAAAAAUGGUUCAUAUUUGUCUUUAGUAUAUUUUUUUUCCCCAAAUCUAGUGUACUGCUAAUAACAAUGUAUUUCUCUAAUUUUUCAUUAAUUUUUCUUUUGUUUCAAUUUACUCCUCUUACACCUAACAUGAUGGCAAUGCUCCCUAUCGAGAAUGAGAGGAAUGGAGAUGAGCCUCUAAUUAGUUGU